rnacentral:rRNA from 1 species
UACGUAGGGGGCAAGCGUUGUCCGGAUUUAUUGGGCGUAAAGAGCGUGUAGGCGGCCAGGUAGGUCAGCUGUGAAAACUCGAGGCUCAACCUCGAGACGCCGGUUGAAACCAUCUGGCUAGAGUCCGGAAGAGGAGAGUGGAAUUCCUGGUGUAGCGGUGAAAUGCGCAGAUAUCAGGAAGAACACCUAUGGCGAAAGCAGCUCUCUGGGACGGUACUGACGCUGAGACGCGAAAGCGUGGGGAGCGAACAGG